GCCUGACGGAGCAACGCCGCGUGAGGGAUGAAGGCCUCUGGGCUGUAAACCUCUUUUCUCAAGGAAGAAGAUCUGACGGUACUUGAGGAAUAAGCCACGGCUAAUUCCGUGCCAGCAGCCGCGGUAAUACGGGAGUGGCAAGCGUUAUCCGGAAUCAUUGGGCGUAAAGCGUCCGCAGGCGGCCUUGAAAGUCUGUCGUUAAAGCGUGGAGCUUAACUCCAUUUAAGCGAUGGAAACUGCAAGGCUAGAGUGUGGUAGGGGCAGAGGGAAUUCCCGGUGUAGCGGUGAAAUGCGUAGAUAUCGGGAAGAACACCAGUGGCGAAGGCGCUCUGCUGGGCCAUAACUGACGCUCAUGGACGAAAGCCAGGGGAGCG
rnacentral:rRNA from 1 species